AAGUUUGGACAAUGGGGGAAACCCUGAUCCAGCCAUCCCGCGUGUAUGAUGAAGGCCUUCGGGUUGUAAAGUACUUUUGGCAGAGAAGAAGAGGUAUCUCCUAAUACGAGAUACUGCUGACGGUAUCUGCAGAAUAAGCACCGGCUAACUACGUGCCAGCAGCCGCUGUAAUACGUAGGGUGCAAGAGUUAAUCGGAAUUAUUGGGCGUAAAGAGUGUGUAGGCGGUUCAGAAAGAAAGAUGGGAGAUCCCAGCGCUCAACCUUGGAACUGCAUUUUUAACUGCCGAGCUAGAGUAUGUCAGAGGGGGGUAGAAUUCCACGUGUAGCAGUGAAAUGCGUAGAUAUGUGGAGGAAUACCGAUGGCGAAGGCAGCCCCCUGGGAUAAUACUGACGCUCAGACACGAAAGCGUGGGGAGCAAACA
rnacentral:rRNA from 1 species